rnacentral:rRNA from 1 species
CCUACGGGUGGCUGCAGUGGGGAAUAUUGCACAAUGGGCGCAAGCCUGAUGCAGCCAUGCCGCGUGUGUGAAGAAGGCCUUCGGGUUGUAAAGCACUUUCAGCGGGGAGGAGGGCGUUAAGGUUAAUAACCUUGUCGAUUGACGUUACCCGCAGAAGAAGCACCGGCUAACUCCGUGCCAGCAGCCGCGGUAAUACGGAGGGUGCAAGCGUUAAUCGGAAUUACUGGGCGUAAAGCGCACGCAGGCGGUCUGUCAAGUCGGAUGUGAAAUCCCCGGGCUCAACCUGGGAACUGCAUUCGAAACUGGCAGGCUAGAGUCUUGUAGAGGGGAGUGGAAUUCCAGGUGUAGCGGUGAAAUGCGUAGAGAUCUGGAGGAAUACCGGUGGCGAAGGCGGCCCCCUGGACAAAGACUGACGCUCAGGUGCGAAAGCGUGGGGAGCGAACAGGAUUAGAUACCCCUGUAGUC